AUGGAGACUUUUUGCUGGAUUGGCUCUUCCUGACUGAAGAUCUCUGCCUUUUCCUGUGCUGUUUUGCACCACUGCCACAAUUAAAAUCACCUAGACAGAGGCAGUACAAAGGUGCUCUUUGCUCUCUUGUUCCUCAAAGCAUGGACAUCAAGAACUGGAUCCCAGCCCACUGACAUCAAUGGGAGCCCUUCCAUUCACCUCAUGAAGUCUGUGCCAGGUCAAGGAGGAACACAGAUGAGAGAAGGCAAUUUGGCUGUCACAUUUUCCUUUCAUCAAGAGCUUUGCACAGAAAAAAACUCUUUUUAAUGUAACUUCUGCUGCUGAGUUGGAGAUUUUUGUCCCUGUGAAGUGAAUUUCCACUAAUAACUACAGAGGUUUUCAGGAUGGGUCUGAGAAUGGAGCAAAAAACUAGAGUUACAUGGGACAUCUGAGGAGCCAAAACAUGGUUCUAAGGGCAUGACUCUGGAGCUAUCAGCUUUCUAAGGAGGAAAUGUACUGAGUGACAGAGCUGUCUGAAGUGUUCAGGCUGUUUGCAAUAUGGAUGCUGGAGAAUAAGCAAAAUCACCCAUGAAAGGAGCCAUGAAUUUUGUGGUGGAAGCCAGAAUUAGAGCCAAUUCCAGAGAUGAGCAAUAUUCCCACCUUGGUUCACAGCUCUCGUUCUGCAAGCAUGGUCUACAAAAGCAAAGGUAUGCAUUGCCAAUAAUUCACAUUUUGUGGACACUGCCUUCGGCCUGACUUCUUGCAGUGGCAGGAGACACUUCUCCACAGAAUAUAUUUUCUUUCCAGAGGUCCCUUGCACAACCAAAAUCUGGGACGGGAAUGGGGGGAUGUCCAGCUGUCUGUCUGCCUCAGAUGCUUUUAGACCUGGGCCUGCUUAGGACAGGCUAAGUGUGUGUGAACAGAGGCUCAUGGGCUGUGUUUUUCCUGUAGUUGGCUCCUGCUUGGCUUUAUUUGGUUUGCUCUUUUGCGAAAUGGUUUCUUUGCUUGUUUGUGCUAACAGCAGAAGUGCUAGGUCUCUGUAGAGUGAAAUUAAAUGCCAGGUUUAGGAUGUGUCUUCAGAGCAAUUAAUCAUUCUUCAGAGAUAUGGCCAAGGCAGCCUCCAGGACCGUGUGAGCUCAACGCAGCUUUCCUGCACACUAGGCUUGUGUGGAGCCCCUCAGCUGAAACCAGCAUUUCUUGGGCAUGUCUUGCUGCCAAGCAAAUCUGCCUUUUGCAGUUGAGCCUUGUUUUCCCUGCCCACUGUUUUGCCCCUGGCAGCCACAGCAAUCAGGCACCAGAAGAAAUCUCCUCACUGCGGGAAAAAUAAUUAACGAGAACAAGCAGAACCAUCCAUGCACAUGGCUGAACCCUAAGAAGAUGCUCACAAAGGUGAUUCACAAUAAUGUUCUUAAAACAAAACAGGCACUCUAACAGUAGCCAAAACCAGUGUAAGCACAGGAUACUUUCCAGCAUUAGCCUAACCCUCUGGUGAUAGCAAUAAACGAUGCUUCAUGUUUUAAUCAAGAGACAAUAUUCUUGCUGGCUGAUUGAAGUGUUUUUAUUGGAAAUAGCUUCCAAAAAGAACCUGUCUUGUUAGUACUGUAAAUUCUGCAGGCUAAAAUCCUUUGAUUCUCAUUAAAUUAACUAAUU